CCGGCGACCGGCGCACGGGUGAGUAACACGUAUGGAACCUGCCCGCAGCAGGGGGAUAAGCGGAAGAAAUUCCGUCUAAUACCGCGUAACACCGCGGAGGGGCAUCCCUCGGCGGUUAAAGAUUCAUCGGCUGCGGAUGGCCAUGCGGCGCAUUAGCUAGACGGCGGGGUAACGGCCCACCGUGGCGACGAUGCGUAGGGGUUCUGAGAGGAAGGUCCCCCACACUGGUACUGAGACACGGACCAGACUCCUACGGGAGGCAGCAG
rnacentral:rRNA from 1 species